rnacentral:rRNA from 1 species
UACGAAGGGGGCUAGCGUUGUUCGGAAUUACUGGGCGUAAAGCGUGCGCAGGCGGCUGCUCAAGUCAGGGGUGAAAGCCCAGAGCUCAACUCUGGAAUUGCCUUUGAGACUGAGUGGCUUGAGUACGGGAGAGGUGAGUGGAAUUCCCAGUGAUAGAGGUGAAAUUCGUAAGAUAUUGGGAAGAACACCGGUGGCGAAGGCGGCGUCACUGGCCCGGUA